rnacentral:rRNA from 1 species
GGGUUGUGAGGUUAAGCGACUAAGCGUACACGGUGGAUGCCCUGGCAGUCAGAGGCGAUGAAGGACGUGCUAAUCUGCGAUAAGCGUCGGUAAGGUGAUAUGAACCGUUAUAACCGGCGAUUUCCGAAUGGGGAAACCCAGUGUGUUUCGACACACUAUCAUUAACUGAAUCCAUAGGUUAAUGAGGCGAACCGGGGGAAC